CUUUGCUGAGAAGGAAACACCCGUUCCCAUUCCGAAUACGGUAGUUAAGAUUCUCGAGGCCGAUGGUACUUUAGUGGAAACGCUAUGGGAGAGUAGGUAGUCGCUG
rnacentral:rRNA from 1 species